rnacentral:piRNA from 1 species
UUCUUUUGGUUGACAAACAAAGAUAGGUGA